GCGAAUGGAUUAAGAGCUUGCUCUUAUGAAGUUAGCGGCGGACGGGUGAGUAACACGUGGGUAACCUGCCCAUAAGACUGGGAUAACUCCGGGAAACCGGGGCUAAUACCGGAUAACAUUUUGAACCGCAUGGUUCGAAAUUGAAAGGCGGCUUCGGCUGUCACUUAUGGAUGGACCCGCGUCGCAUUAGCUAGUUGGUGAGGUAACGGCUCACCAAGGCAACGAUGCGUAGCCGACCUGAGAGGGUGAUCGGCCACACUGGGACUGAGACACGGCCCAGACUCCUACGGGAGGCAGCAGUAGGGAAUCUUCCGCAAUGGACGAAAGUCUGACGGAGCAACGCCGCGUGAGUGAUGAAGGCUUUCGGGUCGUAAAACUCUGUUGUUAGGGAAGAACAAGUGCUAGUUGAAUAAGCUGGCACCUUGACGGUACCUAACCAGAAAGCCACGGCUAACUACGUGCCAGCAGCCGCGGUAAUACGUAGGUGGCAAGCGUUAUCCGGAAUUAUUGGGCGUAAAGCGCGCGCAGGUGGUUUCUUAAGUCUGAUGUGAAAGCCCACGGCUCAACCGUGG
rnacentral:rRNA from 1 species